rnacentral:rRNA from 1 species
AUUGAACGCUGGCGGCAUGCCUUACACAUGCAAGUCGAACGGUAACAGGUCUUCGGAUGCUGACGAGUGGCGAACGGGUGAGUAAUACAUCGGAACGUGCCUAGUAGUGGGGGAUAACUACUCGAAAGAGUGGCUAAUACCGCAUGAGAUCUACGGAUGAAAGCAGGGGAUCGCAAGACCUUGUGCUACUAGAGCGGCCGAUGGCAGAUUAGGUAGUUGGUGGGAUAAAAGCUUACCAAGCCGACGAUCUGUAGCUGGUCUGAGAGGACGAUGAGCCACACUGGGACUGAGACACGGCCCAGACUCCUACGGGAGGCAGCAGUGGGGAAUUUUGGACAAUGGGCGCAAGCCUGAUCCAGCAAUGCCGCGUGCAGGAUGAAGGCCUUCGGGUUGUAAACUGCUUUUGUACGGAACGAAAAGCCCUGGGUUAAUACCCUGGGGUCAUGACGGUACCGUAAGAAUAAGCACCGGCCAACUACGUGCCAGCCGCCGCAGUAAGAC